rnacentral:rRNA from 1 species
CCUUGUACACACCGCCCGUCACACCACGAAAGUUUGUUGUACCUGAAGUCGUUGGCGCCAACCGCAAGGAGGCAGACGCCCACGGUAUGACCGAUGUUUGGGGUG